rnacentral:rRNA from 1 species
AUACGGAGGGUGCAAGCGUUAAUCGGAAUUACUGGGCGUAAAGCGUACGUAGGCGGUCCGUUAAGUUAGAUGUGAAAGCCCCGGGCUUAACCUGGGGACUGCAUUUAAAACUGGCGAACUAGAGUUGAGUAGAGGGGAGUGGAAUUUCAGGUGUAGCGGUGAAAUGCGUAGAGAUCUGAAGGAACACCAGUGGCGAAGGCGACUCCCUGGACUCGAACUGACGCUGAGGUACGAAAGCGUGGGUAGCAAACGGGAUUAGAAACCCCAGUAGUCC